ensembl:snoRNA
ACUAGAGACUAGAGUCACAUCCUGACAGCUCUUGUCCUAGUGUGCUAGAGUCCUUAGAGAAAAUGUGCUGUUCUUGGUUCACUGGUGAGGGCGAUCAUUGCCCCCAGGAGUGCUCAGAUUAGAUACAUGC